GUCAUUUAUUUCUUCCCCGUGUUUAUUUUUCCAGUCUCCCUGAAUUGCCAUCAUGUCAUGAAAAAUACUUUGUUUUAAACUUAAUGGAAUGGAUUGUCAUUUUGGUGGAUUUUUGCCAGUGAAGAAUUUAUCAGACUCAAUAGCCUCCAUCACUUGGCAGGACAGAAAGGCCUCGAAAGCCUCUUUCAGUAUCUCUGAGCAUACCUAACAUUUAGAAAGGUAGGCCUGUGUAGCAAGUGUGAAAGUGUUCCUCUCCAUGCCCUUACGGCUUUACUCAACCAUGUUUCCUCUUUUAUCAUUUAUUGGAAAAACCUUUUACUAUCUCUUCUUACUUCCUUUCCUUUGUUAGCUACAAAGGGAAGAUUUUCUUUUGCAAAUCCUUAGUAAUUAAAUGAGCACUUCAGUGGCUGUAGCCCUCAAUGGCCUGUUUCCUAGGUUUUGCCUUUGACAGUCAUAUUUUGCAAAGGCCCCUGAGAUGACUCUGCAUCUUCCCCUACUCAACGCUAAACCAACUGAAGCCCGUGCUCACUGCAUGAAGGAGGAAAAGAUUCAUUAAGGGCACUUCAUUAAGAGGCUGAAAUGGGAAGCUCUAAAUGCGCCUGAACCAACUACAAUCCAGAGAAGCUGUCUAUUAGGAGUGCCACAAAGACAGUUUCGGAAGCUAAACUCCAGCUCCAGUGCAUCGGAUUAGGAAGAGUGAUGGGAUUAGUGUUUAAUGACUUGGGGCAGGAGACAAAGGGAAUUUCGACAAAGAGGCUUAGAUAUGGAAGAAUUAACACUCUGUAUUCCAACCAGGCCUCUGAUGACUUCCAGCAUUCUUUUCAGACUCAAAAGCCAAGGGAAGGGAAUAAAAAAAAAAAAAAGAUGUGCAAAGCUUUAAUACUUUUCUAACUUUUUUUAUUGCAACAACAAUACAGAGGAAAUAAAAGAACCCUAUUCACUCCUUUGGACUUGAAACCUCUUUUAAAAAUAAGCAUCUACAAUUGUAUAAUUAGCCCCAAGGUGAGCUUGCCCAGGGCCUCAAACAUGUGCCAGAAUGCUUCUCUGCUUCCUAAUGCUAGGGCAAGUCACAAACUGAUGUGGACACUAAAGCAAAACCUAUGGUAGCAGAGGCCCAGCUAAGUGGCUGUACAAGAUUUUUUUCUCUCCAUGGCUGUUUAUGUUACAGGUGCAACUGAAGGAACAGAGAAACUGUGUAAUUGUAAAACCUCCUUGUGGCCCCACAUGGCUCAUACUCAAAUGAUUCCAGUGUCUAUGGCCUGAGAAGUGCUUCAUGAAAUGAGGAACAGUGCCUCAAGUCAGAGAUUGGCAUGGUGAGUCGCCGGGAGGUGGAAAAGAGGCACAGCUUCAUUGAAGCUACAGUUGGCUGCAAGGAACCAUUUCAAAUCAUCUUAGUUCUACGGGGCCAUUCAGGUGGCAAAGGCCCAGAGAAUAUCUUAUAUCUUUACUAUAUCUCAAACAGUGAAGAAAUGGCAGCAAGACUGCUACCUCUUCUCCACGUCACUUCUGUUAAAAUUACCUGAUUGUCGGUGGUACUAAAAGAUCAAGACUAGAGAGGAGGUGGUUCCAAGAUGGCCAAAUAGGAACAGCUCCAGUCUACAGUUCCCAGCGUGAGUGAUGCAGAAGAUGGGUGAUUUCUGCAUUUCCAACUGAGGUACUGGGUUCAUCUCACUGGGACUCGUCGGACAGUGGGUGCAAGACAGUGGGUGCAGCCCACCAAGCGUGAGCUGAAGCAGGGCAAGGCAUCGCCUCACCUGGGAAGUGCUAGCAAUUAGGAAAUUCCCUUUCCUAGCCAAGGGAAGCUGUGACAGACGGCACCUGGAAAAUCAGGUCACUCCCACCCUAAUACUGCGCUUUUCCAAUGGUCUUAGCAAACAGCACACCAGGAGAUUAUAUCCCGUGCAUGGCUCGGAAGGUCCCACGCCCAUGGAGCCUCGCUUAUUGCUAGCACAGCAGUCUGAGAUGGAACUGCAAGGCGGCAGCGAAGCUGAGGGAGGAGCGCCUGCCAUUGCUGAGGCUUGAGUAGGUAAACAAAGCAGCCAGGAAGCUCGAACUAGGUGGAGCCCACCGCAGCUCAAGGAGGCCUGCCUGCCU
rnacentral:lncRNA from 1 species